GUUUAUGACCAUACCACCCUGAAUACGCCCGAUCUUGUCUGAUCUUGGAAGCUAAGCAGGGUCGGGACUGGCUAGUACUUGGAUGGGAGAAGUUUCAGAGCCUUUUUUUUUUUUUUCC
ensembl:rRNA 5S_rRNA 5S ribosomal RNA